rnacentral:rRNA from 1 species
CUUGGUCAUUUAGAGGAAGUAAAAGUCGUAACAAGGUCUCCGUUGGUGAACCAGCGGAGGGAUCAUUACCGAGUUUACAACUCCCAAACCCCCUGUGAACUUAUACCAUUACUGUUGCUUCGGCGGGUUAUUGCCCCGGGGAAAGGACCAGGUGCCGUCAAGGUUCCCUGCCCGCCCCCGGAAACAGGCGCCUGCCGGGGGACUCAAACUCUUCUGUAUUUUUUAUUUUACUGUUAUACUGUCUGAGUAAAAAACUAUAAAUGAAUCAAAACUUUCAACAACGGAUCUCUUGGUUCUGGCAUCGAUGAAGAACGCAGCGAAAUGCGAUAAGUAAUGUGAAUUGCAGAAUUCAGUGAAUCAUCGAAUCUUUGAACGCACAUUGCGCCCGCCAGUAUUCUGGCGGGCAUGCCUGUUCGAGCGUCAUUUCAACCCUCAAGUCCCCUGUGGACUUGGUGUUGGGGACCGGCGACACACAGCUGUUUACAGUUGGUCGCCGCCCCCUAAAUGACUUGGCGGCCUCGUCGCGGCCCUCCUCUGCGUAGUAGCACACACCUCGCAACAGGAGCCCGGCGAAUGGCCACUGCCGUAAAACCCCCAACUUCUUUUUAGAGUUGACCUCGAAUCAGGUAGGAAUACCCGCUGAACUUAAGCAUAUCAAUAAGCGGAGGAAAAGAAACCAACAGGGAUUGCCCCAGUAACGGCGAGUGAAGCGGCAACAGCUCAAAUUUGAAAUCUGGCCCCUAGGGUCCGAGUUGUAAUUUGCAGAGGAUGCUUUUGGCGAGGUGCCUUCCGAGUUCCCUGGAACGGGACGCCAUAGAGGGUGAGAGCCCCGUCUGGUUGGAUACCGAGCCUCUGUAAAGCUCCUUCGACGAGUCGAGUAGUUUGGGAAUGCUGCUCUAAAUGGGAGGUAUAUGUCUUCUAAAGCUAAAUAUUGGCCAGAGACCGAUAGCGCACAAGUAGAGUGAUCGAAAGAUGAAAAGCACUUUGAAAAGAGGGUUAAAUAGUACGUGAAAUUGUUGAAAGGGAAGCGCUCAUGACCAGACUUGGGCCCGGUGAAUCAUCCAGCGUUCUCGCUGGUGCACUUUGCCGGGCUCAGGCCAGCAUCAGUUUGCUUCGGGGGAUAAAGGCUUUGGGAAUGUGGCUCCUUCGGGAGUGUUAUAGCCCAUUGCAUAAUACCCUGGGGCGGACUGAGGUUCGCGCAUUCGUGCAAGGAUGCUGGCGUAAUGGUCAUCAGCGACCCGUCUUGAAACACGGACC